rnacentral:rRNA from 1 species
AGCAGCCGCGGUAAUUCCAGCUCCAAUAGCGUAUAUUAAAGUUGCUGCAGUUAAAAAGCUCGUAGUUGAAUUUCGGGACCAAUAUGUCGGUCGUGCCUCGGUACGUACUGGCAUCGUUGGUUUCUCCCUUCUGACGAACCAUGAUGUCAUUUAUUUGGUGUCGUGGGGAAUCAGGACUGUUACUUUGAAAAAAUUAGAGUGUUUAAAGCAGGCUCACGCUUGAAUACAUUAGCACGGAAUAAUGAAAUAGGACGUUUGAUUCUAUUUUGUUGGUUUCUAGGAUCGACGUAAUGAUUAAUAGGGAUAGUUGGGGGCAUUAGUAUUCAAUUGUCAGAGGUGAAAUUCUUGGAUUUAUUGAAGACUAACUACUGCGAAAGCAUUUGCCAAGGAUGUUUUCAUUAAUCAAGAACGAAAGUUAGGGGAUCGAAGACGAUCAGAUACCGUCGUAGUCUUAACCAUAAACUAUGCCGACUAGGGAUCGGAUGAUGUUAAUUUUUAAUGACUCAUUCGGCGCCUUAAC